rnacentral:snoRNA from 14 species
AGCAAUGAGUUCUUUGCAGACUAGAGUCUCUGAGGCUGAGGAGAGGGUCGAGAAUGCAAGGUAUCCUUGAAGAGGUU